AUUUGUGCCAGCAACUCUUUAGCCAGUAAACAAACGAAGCUCAGGUUUGAUUGUCGUAUGUUUAAUCAGGCUUCAGGAAGUCGCGACAGAGUUCAUGUAGUGUCAGCUGUCGUCGGUUUCUCGUAUUUGCGUCAAGAAAAUGUACGGGCAAACUUACGCGUGUGCUCAUACGUUACUGUUAACCUUGACUGUGCACCAUGUGCACCGCCAUUUCAACACACGUCACAUUCCGAAAAGCGUCAGCCACUGGUAUGGAUUAUAUUAAUAGUUUUUGUAUAUUCCUCCAAUAAGGAAAAAAGAAGCACAACUAGAAGUAAAAUAAAAAUUCAAAUAAUACAAAAUCAAUUGAAGAAAGUAGUGUCUCACCUAUGAAUAAUUCGUGCAGCUGGUAUACGCGUCCUUGUCCAACGCACGUAACACCACAUAAGUCCCUCUCACUCGCACUCACGGCAGGUAUACGAAACUUAAAAAAUCCAAAGCACCCUUGGGGCCCUGCUCCGAUCAGUCGGCCGCUACUGGCCAGCUGCCAACAUCCAAUUGGAAAACUUUACCUGCUUCUGGCAGUAAAAUCUUGUCAAUUGAUGCUUGACCGAAAUGAGCAUGUAUCUGGAAAAUCCAAUUGAUGCAACAGAACGAGAGAUCAUCGUACGUAAUACCACGUGAACCCAUCUGUCAAUAUUCUCCAUUCCAUAUUUCGCAACUGGAAGUAAUUAAAGCUGAUUGUGACUGUGCCGAAGGCAAGAGUGUAUUUGCGACAGUGCUAAGCAUCGUCACGUUAAUGAAAGAACUCGUCUCGCACGACGUCCCCAACGAUAAACGCGUCUCGACGCUAAAGAGAGAGAUGCUGAGGAACAAAGAAAAUUGUGGGUCAUCGCACAUGGCAGGCAUAUAUAUACGUCGUAGGUAUAGGAUACUAAGAGGAAAAAGUCAUUUGUUUGACUGAGGGUUGCUAAUCUACCCCGUGAAACGAGGUGUCGUCGUCAGCGACAAAUAUUUGGUAGUACCGGAUCGAACGAGAGAACGAGAAGAGAUAGCUACGGCAUUGCGUUGUUAUAAGACGAUCGAAUGAGAAACAAUGUGCAAUGCUGCCAAGU